AGAGUUUGAUCAUGGCUCAGAUUGAACGCUGGCGGCACGCCUAACACAUGCAAGUCGAGCGGUAACAUGAUCUGUAGCAAUACAGAUUGAUGACGAGCGGCGGACGGGUGAGGAACACGUAGGGAUCUACCCUCAAGCGGGGGACAACCAAUGGAAACGUUGGCUAAUACCGCAUAAUCUCGAGAGAGCAAAGCUACUGCAAGGUGGCACUUGAGGAGGAACCUGCGUCCGAUUAGCUAGUUGGUGAGGUAAUGGCUCACCAAGGCGAUGAUCGGUAACUGGUCUGAGAGGACGACCAGUCACACUGGGACUGAGACACGGCCCAGACUCCUACGGGAGGCAGCAGUGGGGAAUCUUGGACAAUGGGGGCAACCCUGAUCCAGCGAUGCCGCGUGAGUGAAGAAGGCCUUCGGGUCGUAAAGCUCUUUAGGUUGGGAAGAAGUGUACGGGGGGAAAUACCCGUACGUUGACGGUACCGACAGAAUAAGCACCGGCAAACUCUGUGCCAGCAGCCGCGGUA
rnacentral:rRNA from 1 species